GCCUGUUUGGCAGGACAUAUACUAAAAUUGGAAAGAUACAUAGAAGAUAAACAUGGCUCCUGGGUAAGGAUGAUAUAUAAAUUCAUGAAGUAUUCCAUGUUCUU